CAAUAGCGUAUAUUAAAGUUGUUGCAGUUAAAAAGCUCGUAGUUGGAUUUCGGGGUGGCCUGCCUGGUCCACCGCAAGGUGAGUACUGGUCAGCCGCCCUUCCUCUCGAAAGCCCCGACUGCUCUUCAUUGCAGUGGUCGGGUAGUUCGGGACGUUUACUUUGAAAAAAUUAGAGUGUUCAAGGCAGGCUCUCGCCUGAAUACAUUAGCAUGGAAUAAUGGAAGAGGACCUCGGUCCUAUUUUGUUGGUUUCUAGGGCCGAAGUAAUGAUUAAGAGGGACAGUUGGGGGCAUUCGUAUUUAAUUGUCAGAGGUGAGAUUCUUGGAUUUAUGAAAGACGAACUAGUGCGAAAGCAUUUGCCAAGGAUGUUUUCAUUAA
rnacentral:rRNA from 1 species